rnacentral:rRNA from 1 species
GUAGGUGGCAAGCGUUGUCCGGAAUUAUUGGGCGUAAAGCGCGCGCAGGCGGUUCUUUAAGUCUGAUGUGAAAGCCCACGGCUCAACCGUGGAGGGUCAUUGGAAACUGGAGAACUUGAGUACAGAAGAGGAAAGCGGAAUUCCACGUGUAGCGGUGAAAUGCGUAGAGAUGUGGAGGAACACCAGUGGCGAAGGCGGCUUUCUGGUCUGUAACUGACGCUGAGGCGCGAAGCGUGGGGAGCAAACAGGGAUUAGAUACCCUGGUAGUCCACGCCGUAAACGAUGAGUGCUAAGUGUUAGGGGGUUUCCGCCCCCUUAGUGCUGCAGCUAACGCAUUAAGCACUCCGCCUGGGGAUACGGCCGCAAGGCUG